UACAGAGGGUGCUAACGUUGUUCGGAAUUACUGGGCAUAAAGCGCACGUAGGCGGCGCGUCGAGUGCGGGGUGAAAUCCCACGGCUUACCCGUGGAACAGCUUUGCAUACUGGCGUGCUUGAGUGCGGUAGAGGAGAGCGGAACUCUUGGUGGAGCGGUGAAAUGCGUAGAUAUCAAGAGGAACACCGAAGGCGAAGGCAGCUCUCUGGGCCGUAACUGACGCUGAGGUGCGAAAGCCAGGGGAUCAAACGGG
rnacentral:rRNA from 1 species